CUCCUCAGCCGUCACUCCCCUCUAUUUCGCUCCUCACUCUCUUUCUCUCUCCUCUCUAGAACUCAUUGUCUUUCUCUUUCCUCAGGAUUCAUUCUCUUUCACUCUCUUUACCACCUCUCCUUACCUCCAUAUUCUCUUUCCUCUUGAUUAUGCGUUUUUUUUUUAAAAUUUAUGUUUUGUUUUUGCUACUAGAUCUGUAGCAAUUAGAUUCAAAUUGGUAGAAUUAUUGGGUUUUAUAAUUAGAUUUUAAUCUGAUUUUUAUUUGAAUGAUUUUUGCUAGUUUAUUGUUGAAAACCAAGAGGAGGAAGUGAAAUAAGAGGCGAAAAAGAGGAAGAAGGCACUAACGGCGAUGGAGAAAUCAAUGGUUAGAUCGUUGGAAACCACCGCUUACAAGGAUCUUAUUUCUUUUAUUUAUUUAUUUAUUUUGAAUCUUAUUUCUUUUAAUUUUUUGUUACAUGUUACCCUUUUUUUUCAUUCAAGUGCUAUGAUUUUUCUGGAUUUUUAAAAUUAUUUUUGGUAAUUUUGUUUUUAUUUCUUGGAAAAUCGAUUGAAAUGACUUAGUUUUGGGAAUUUUUCCGCUUCUCUUUCGUUCUUCACAUUUCGAAAAUUCUCCCCUUUCAAUUCUCAAUCUGCAACUUCAGAGAAUUCAACAAUGGCGGCUUCAAACAAUCAAUUAAGGUUUGUAAAUCAGCUUUUAUUGUAGCUCACGAGAAGGCUACCCUUACAAAGCUCAGCAAUGGCGUCUACGUCUCUCCGUUUCUAUCGACCUCUACAAUUGUGGAUCUUUCUUUGGAUUUACUGAAGAAUGAUCAAGUGGUUGCAAUCAUAGGUCCAGAAACAUCUCCUGAGGCUCAAUUUGUUGUCAAUCUUGGGGAGAAAGCUCGAGAUCUAAUUGUUUCCUACUCUACUACAAGCCCUUCACUUUCUCCCACGCAAAACUCGUAUUUCAUUCGAGCAACACAGGAUGAUUACUGCCAAGUACAACCCAUCAGUGACCUUAUCCAAGCUUUUGGAUGGAGAGGAGUUGUACCUGUCUAUGUUGCUAAUGAAUUUGGUGGUGGGAUCAUACCUUUCUUGAAGUUCAGGAGGCAAGAAAGUUCUAUUGACGCUGCUGAAGACAGAGACAUUGGUGACGAAGAAAAUCAAGAAUGGCAAUGUUAAUCCUUUUAAUGUUGAGGAUAGAGAUAGAGAAAUGUCCGAGACAUCAUGUACCAGAAGAUUUAUUACUAUGAGGCUCUAACUUUUUUUUUCUGAAAUUUUCCUUUAAUCUAUGUAGCUAUGUCUCUUGGUUCAAUCAAGAAGAAUUUUAUCUGAAAUACAAUUUGGUGUUUAUGUUA